ACGGAAGGCAGCAGUGGGGAAUAUUGGGCAAUGGGCGAAAGCCUGACCCAGCAAUGCCGCGUGAAGGAAGAAGGUCUUCGGAUUGUAAACUUCUUUUAUGAGGGACGAAGGAUUUGACGGUACCUCAUGAAUAAGCCACGGCUAACUACGUGCCAGCAGCCGCGGUAAUACGUAGGUGGCAAGCGUUAUCCGGAUUUACUGGGUGUAAAGGGCGCGUAGGCGGGGAAGCAAGUCAGAUGUGAAAUCCAUGUGCUCAACUCCUGAACUGCAUUUGAAACUGUUUCUCUUGAGUGCUGGAGAGGUAGAUGGAAUUCCUAGUGUAGCGGUGAAAUGCGUAGAUAUUAGGAAGAACACCAGUGGCGAAGGCGAUCUACUGGACAGUAACUGACGCUGAGGCGCGAAAGCGUGGGGAGCAAACAGGAUUCGAUACCCUGGUA
rnacentral:rRNA from 1 species